AUUGAACGCUGGCGGCAUGCUUUACACAUGCAAGUCGAGCGGCAGCGCGGGGGCAACCCUGGCGGCGAGCGGCGAACGGGUGAGGAAUGCAUCGGAACGUGCCCGGGAGUGGGGGAUAACGCCGCGAAAGCGGCGCUAAUACCGCAUAUUCUCUGUGGAGGAAAGUGGGGGACCGCAAGGCCUCACGCUUUCGGAGCGGCCGGUGUCGGAUUAGCUUGUUGGUGGGGUAAAGGCUUACCAAGGCGACGAUCCGUAGCUGGUCUGAGAGGAUGAUCAGCCACACUGGGACUGAGACACGGCCCAGACUCCUACGGGAGGCAGCAGUGGGGAAUUUUGGACAAUGGGGGCAACCCUGAUCCAGCCAUGCCGCGUGCGGGAAG
rnacentral:rRNA from 1 species